rnacentral:rRNA from 1 species
UACGAGUGCCUCAAGCGUUAUCCGGAAUCAUUGGGCGUAAAGGUUGUGUAGGUGGUUGUAUUAGUCUCUUGUUAAAUUCUUCGGCUUAACCGGGGCAUGCAAGGGAAACGGUACAACUAGAGGAUGCGAGGGGUUUUGCGGAACUCAUAGUGUAGCGGUGAAAUGCGUUGAUAUUAUGGGGAACACCAAAAGCGAAGGCAGCAAACUAGAGCACUCCUGACACUGAAACAAGAAAGCGUGGGUCGCGAAUGGG